AAAAAUUUAGUUAAUUCUCAUAACAUUAGUUUGUCAAACUAAAAUAAUUAAAUUUAAUAAUUUUUA
rnacentral:tRNA from 1 species